AGGGAGAACAACACAAAAAGAAGAAGACACCGAGAGACAGUAAAAACACUGCACCUACGACAGAGCCCACCAAAGUGUCCCAUUCGAGAAUAUUAGGGUCAUCUGUAAAAAACACACAGGGUUGAAAACCAAGUGCGCGGCACUGUUCGG